GUGAAUCAUCGAAUCUUUGAACGCAUAUUGCGCUCGAGGCUUCGGCCGAGAGCAUGUCUGCCUCAGCGUCGGUCCAUCCCCUCACACCCUCCCUUUGCUUUGCAAAUGGGAUGGGCUGUGGAUCUGGCCGUGUCGGCUGCCGUUGUGGCCGAGUCGGCUGAAGCUCAGAGGCCUGAGCAAGCGCCCAUUCAACCGGGCAUCAACUAGGUGGGUGGCCUUCGGGCCGCGAAGCCGUUGAUGACCGGGGGACUUGCUGGGGGCCUGCAGGAACACCGCCCUUCGGAAGGAGGGCUGGUGGCG
rnacentral:misc_RNA from 1 species